UCCUCUCUCUCUGUCUCUCUCUCUCUCUCUCUCUCUGUGUGUGUGUGUGUGUGUGAGAGAGAGAGAGAGAGAGAGAGAGAGAGAGAGAU